GGUCCGAUUCUCGCAACCUUGUUGCUAUUUUGAGAAUCAGAGUGAUCGGAGCUUUGCCAUGAUGGAAGUAUUAAUCAAGAAGCAGUUGCUGAUAACAAUGUAUCUGGCUACAAGGAUGUGAAGGACAUGGAGUGGGUCAAAAACAAGUUUCCAGUGAAAUCAUCAUUAGGGAAAGAAGAUCUCUAAAGGUAGUUGAUAAUAGGAACAUGUUCUUCAUCUUUGAGUUGUACAAUUGAAAUAUAUAGUUCUUGUUAAUUGUUUGUAUCCAAAGUGUUUGGCACACACAAUACUCGUUAAUUACUCGGGGAAGCCAUCUGAAUCAGGGUUAUAAUUUUGAGUUUGGAUUUUGAUAAGAUCAUAUGUAUUUGGUUGAUGAUAUUUUAUAUAGUGUUUUAAAUUUUGAAGA